rnacentral:lncRNA from 1 species
AGCAGAGUGGCCGCGCUACGGACCCGGGUCCUCCUGACGGGGGUGCAACUCACAUACUUUCCUACCAGGAGGUGUAGAGGAGGGGCGUUAGGUAGCUUAAAAUCGCUGAACAAUUAUCUUUAAAUUGCUUUUCCGUCGAAUAUCUGCAUUUCCUUACAAAUCACUUAUAAACUGUAAACGACGUAUACCGAAAAAAGUGUUUUAAAAUUAUUAUCUUAAUAAUCCUUUCAUUUCCUGCAUACUUUUCUGCACACUGUCUGUCUGGUACAUGCUAUCGGAAAAAAAGUUGCUUAUAUUUCUAGACCUAUGUACUAUUCACCAUCAGGCAUUCAGAUAUCAUCAUUUCCAACAAACUACUUAAACAAUAUUGCCAAACCAUACAAUUAAAAUACAUACACAUGCUCCUACAGAUGACAUAAAUAUACUGUUUAUCUGUAAGAAUAAAUCCAAUCAACAUAUAACCAGUGAGAACAAGUUUCAACCGGUGCCCAGGGUCUUCUAAAAUCCCCCCCACCCCACCCCCCCCCCCCCUCGCCUUGCCUUCGGUCGGCCCAGGUACCUCUAACCCAUACAUCCCAUCCCGCCAGCUGAGGGAGGCCAAGGCUGGACGGAAUCGCCUCCCAACUCCGCCAUAGCGUGCAUAACUACGACGAAGCAUUUUACGUCUCGUGUUUGAGAGAAUAAUUGGCUUCGCUGGUUUUGUACACGCUCCUAGAGAUACGAGAGGCGUGAGCCAGCAAGUAGACGCAAAUGGCACCAAGGUCAACACCCCCCAACAACAAUAAAAACAAGGUGUUUGAGUUGCCAUCGAUGCACACGCACUGUGCACAGUAUACAAACGGGAUAUCACUCAUAAUGACCCUGAUUGUAUCAAUGAGUGGCGAAAGCGUUGUGAAGUAUGCUAUGCAUACAUUAUUGAUGACCUGUGACAUACAUGGCGUCAUCUAUUUUUUUCUGUCAGACGCCUGUGGUAUCUGAAAAAAUAGCUGAGAUAGCCACAUUCUCUUUCUACGUCUCACACAUAGUCCCACACGCCGAAUGAGACAGACAGAGAGAGAGAGAGAGAGCGAGAGAGAGAGAGAGAGAGAGAGAGAGAGAGAGAGAGAGAGAGAGAGAGAGAGAGAGAGAGAGAGAGAGAGAGAGAGAGAGAGGGGGGGGGAUCAUAACCGAAUAAUCAAAUAGUGAUGGGAUCACGUUUGAUAGCCAUAAAAUUGAAGAAUAAAGAAACAAAACAAAGGGUUACAUUAAAUCAAAGCUGAAUAUACAGUGAAGAUCAUCUGGUCAUCUGACAGGGUGUUUAACCCCUAAGACACGAAUUGGACACCCCUAAGGACAGCAACGCAAGAUAUCGAAACCUUGUUACAAUUCCCUGAAGAUGAAAGUGUGAAGGAAAGAGACUCUACACCAUGAUUUUAUGUAACGUAAGAGACCAUGGGAUAGAAUAACAUAAUUUCCCAUAAAUAGUGAGCAUACUGUAAAAAUUGAUUUCAACUCGCAAUAUGCCUUUUAUUGGGUAAGUUUCUUAACGAUACAUGUUACUUAUUGCUACAGCCACUGUUGCUAUUGUGCGACCAGCUCUAAAUCUGGAAUAAAACAAAGCUCCAACGUAGCUAAUCCUCGUAUUACAUUCGUGUAUUACAUGUGAUAUCAAACAUCAAAUACUGGAAUAGUAGAUGCACCAUCCAUGUUUGUUUAAAUUAUACUGUUCAUGGAAAACGUAAAGAGCUUUUCAGC